rnacentral:rRNA from 1 species
UACAGAGGGUGCAAGCGUUAAUCGGAUUUACUGGGCGUAAAGCGCGCGUAGGUGGCCAAUUAAGUCAAAUGUGAAAUCCCCGAGCUUAACUUGGGAAUUGCAUUCGAUACUGGUUGGCUAGAGUAUGGGAGAGGAUGGUAGAAUUCCAGGUGUAGCGGUGAAAUGCGUAGAGAUCUGAAGGAAUACCGAUGGCGAAGGCAGCCAUCUGGCCUAAUACUGACACUGAGGUGCGAAAGUGUGGGUAGCGAACAGG